GUGUAGAUACCGAGAAUAAUGUUAACCUCUACAUGAUCAAAAGAAAAUCUCGCACGUCCCACGAGAUUUUACACCAAAAAUGCCAAAUCAAUUCCGAAAAAUACUGUCGUUUUAUUCGUGAAUGCGAUGGAAAAAGAAGACAAAUAAAGAUGAUAAUUGGACAGGGGCAGCGUAUGCUUGUUGCUGAGCUGCUGCGGGGACUGCGGAAGCAAAUUGUUGCUGGGGAGCAGCCUGUUCUUGAGGAGCAGAGAAGGUCUGUUGUUGAGGGGCAGCAAAGGUCUGUUGCGUGGCGAACUCGGCAGCGGAUGAAGCGGCAGCUGUGGAUUGUUGAACUGAAGCUGCGCUGUUAAUGUUGACACACGAGCAAAUCUGUUGAGUAGUUGCUGAGGCACUCAAAGUGGAUGCUGGACGGACUAAUGGGCUGGCUGCCGGGAUCUGUUGCUCAACAGUAAAUGCAGGAGUGUUUGAAGCGAAUUGCUGAUUUGUGCUGGCUUGGAAUACCGACUGACCACCCAUCAUUCCGCUGAGGCCGCCAUUAUUCCCCAUUUGGGAUCCUUUGUUGGCCCACGAUCUAUACGCAUACAUCCCGAUAUCAAUAGCGAAGGAACUUGAUUUAACAUUAAUUAAUAUCAAGUCAACUUACUGAGACAUGUAUUGGCCAGAACAGGAGGCAGCCAUCAUGGCGCAGAUCACAACGACCUGAAGAGAACAAAAUAAUUUAAAACCAGGAAUCAAUCGUCGUCAAAACCCAUUCGGGCUUGUUGCCACAAAAUGAAUUAAAGUAAAUUGGAUUUUCACACAGGUACAAUGGGCAAACUAUG